GUGCUAGGUGUAGGGGGUAUCGACUCCUUCUGUGCCGCAGCUAACGCAUUAAGCACUCCGCCUGGGGAGUACGGUCGCAAGAUUAAAACUCAAAGGAAUUGACGGGGGCCCGCACAAGCGGUGGAGUAUGUGGUUUAAUUCGAUGAUACGCGAGAAACCUUACCUGGUCUUGACAUGUUAAGAAUCCUUCAGAGAUGAGGGAGUGCUUGCUUGCAAGAACUUAAACACAGGUGGUGCAUGGUUGUCGUCAGCUCGUGUCGUGAGAUGUUGGGUUAAGUCCCGCAACGAGCGCAACCCUUGUUACUAGUUGCCAGCACGUAAUGGUGGGAACUCUAGUGAGACUGCCGGUGAUAAACCGGAGGAAGGUGGGGAUGACGUCAAAUCAUCACGCCCCUUACGACCAGGGCCACACACGUACUACAAUGCCCGGUACAACGAGUUGCUAAGCCGCGAGGCUGCGCUAAUCUCUUAAAACCGGGCCAAGUUCAGAUCGGAGACUGCAAUUCGUCUCCGUGAAGUUGGAAUCGCUAGUAAACGCAAAUCAGCAUGUUGCGUUGAAUACGUUCUCGGGCCUUGUACACACCGCCCGUCACACCAUGGAAGCCAGUAACACCCGAAGCCGGUGAGCUAACCUUACGGAGGCAGCUGUCGAAGGUGGGAUUGGUGACUGGGGUGAAGUCGUAACAAGGUAGCCGUAGGAGAACCUGCGGCUG
rnacentral:rRNA from 1 species